rnacentral:rRNA from 1 species
AUGCUCCACCAGAGAAGACGACCAACGCGAGGAAAGAGAUCAGCUGCCCCCUACGCGGACAGAUCCGCUCCGUACCCUUCAUUCCUGGUUGCUCGCCUGCCAUACAGGUUCAUCCCAUACAAAUCGUAUCCACACCUUUGCCUUACGAGCUUCAGAAAUUUUUCUUUUUCUAGCGUUAUUGUUCGCCUUAUUUUCCAUUUGUAUUUUUCGCGGUUUUGGGAAAGCUGGCCAUGGUUUGUAUGGAGUUGA